rnacentral:rRNA from 1 species
AUACGGAGGAUGCAAGCGUUAUCCGGAUUUAUUGGGUUUAAAGGGUGCGUAGGCGGUUUGCUAAGCGGGAGGUGAAAUGCCGGCGCUCAACGUCGGAAGUGCCUCCCGAACUGGUGGACUUGAAUGACUCUGCCGUGGGAGGAAUGUGUAGUGUAGCGGUGAAAUGCUUAGGGAUUACACAGAACACCGAUUGCUAAGGCUGCUCACGAAGGGUUGAAUGACCCAGAUGACCGAAAGCGUGUGAAGCAACCAGGAUUAGAUACCCUGGAAGGCAUUGCAGUAAACGAUGAUGGCUAAGCGCUGGGUCGUAGUGAGUCAGCGCCCAAGCGAAAGCAAUAAGGUAUCCCCCUGGGGAGUUCGGCCGCAAGGUUGAAACUGAAAGCAAUUGACUGGG